UUUUAACAUUUUCUAUGUGAAUGUGCUGUGUAAGUUUUUUCAUAACUUUCCUAUAAUUUUCUAGUCAUGAUUACAGGUCAUGGAAAGGCUGAUCUAUUUAUCACUGCUGCUGGUCCAGCUGUUCAGCUGUUCCUCACAAAAUCAAAUAGCUUGCCCUCCUAACUGCAUAUUUGACAGUUGGAACUGGACACUUCAAUGUUUUCAAACCAGCACAAACCCUGACACAGUGAUGGUUAUGGCUCAGACACUGGAUCAAUGUAUGCCUGGGAGCAACUCUGAUAUAUACAAAACUAGCUGUUUGUCUUUGAACGUAAACGAAGGAUUCAACAACAUAAAACUGGACACUGCUCAGAACUGCAAAGGCGUAUCCACUCCAGCUGUCAGAGGAAAUCAAUGUGACAAAAAUCUCACUGAUAACAUGUGUAUCAACGUUACAUCAGGGGAGAAAAUGUGUAUCUCCUUGGUAACUAAUGAGAAAGUAAGAAUGAAAUUCAGCUGCAUUCAACAAAACCCAGUCAGUAUCUGUAAUGACACUGAUCUGCAGUUCCACUCAGUAAACAAAACUUGGAUUGAUGCAUUGGAGCACUGUCGGCAAGAGAAUUCCUCCUUGGUUGAAAUCUACAAUGACACAGUCGGUGUUGAAGUUAAAAAUUUGCUGCAAAAUAAAACAGACUCACACACAGGGGUGUGGGUCGGCCUGGAACGAUCCAUUUUUGGCAAAAAUCCUGAAUGGAAAUGGAUUUCAGGGUCAAAGGUUUCAUAUUAUCAGUGGAACAACAGUUUUCCUGUGAACUCCUUAAACAACCACUGUGGAAAGAUCAUCUCGGUUAAUGAGGCAAAAGAAAUCAAGUGGCUGGAUGCAAACUGCCAUGAAAAACUGCCAUUCAUCUGUCAACGUCUGAAGAACAAGACUUGCUUUACUAAAGCAUCUACUCUAAAUCCAGUGCUUUGCAUUGACAUCAGCAAGGACAACAGCAAUCAAUGCUAAUAGGUCAAUCAAGAACAGGAUAUACUACAUCUUCCUUGUCACACUGAGAUGAGAUUGCUGAGGAAACAGAUGAAUGACCCAACAAACCCAGUGUGUAAAUACUCUCUUUAGGCUACUGUUGUGUUUCACAGGAAAACUAUUUUGGAUGUCAUUAUUUUUAAUACUUUGUAUUAUUGUAGGUUCUUUACCUUAAAUUAAAAGGCGCCUUGAGGCAACUGUUGUUGUGAUUUGGCACAAUAUAAUUAAAUUGAAUUGAAAAUUGAAUUAUUUGUGACAGAUUUUAGAAAUGUCAUGAGCCUGGGGUUUUUUCAGUUUGUUCUUUAGUACAUUUAGUUUUGUUCCUAAAAGUUUUUAAAGUUUAAUUCUGGUUUGUUUAAAUCUCUUUACCUCUGUUGUGAACUGCAUACAAAGUUUGUGUUUGUGUUAUCAAACGGAUGCAGAUCUCUUUAGAAAAAUACACACUCACAAGACAAAAUAAAAACAGACUCCUCAAAUUUAAAGCAGAGCAGCUAAAAGCCAUUAAACAACAAUGUUGGGCCUGUUCCAAAAUGUGAAUGCACAUGCUUUGAAAUCAGAGGUCUUGUUGAAUAAUAAUAAUAAUAAUCUACAGAGGCACAAAAACUUUAAAUUAUUGUCUGCUUGAAUAUUAGCCCAGCUCUACUUAUAAAUUUUGAGUCAUUUUUUGUUUGUGCUACUUUUUGAAUGAUCUUGUGCAUUUUUUUGCAAGGGUAAAUUUAUAUGUUUGGUUACUUAAGUAACCAGGGUUUAUUUAUCAGAG
ensembl:lncRNA